UUUUUUUGGUUUGCAGUAGAUAACACAGCUACAAAGUCAACAUUUGUUAUAUCGUUAAAAAAAAAGUCUGAAAACAAAAAUAAGAUUUUUGUUCUUAAUUAAGGGUUAGGCUUAUCAACGUGGUUAAUGUUAGGUUUAAAAUCUGAUUUUAAGAAGAUAAAUUGUAGAAAUAGGCAGAGUUGAUGACUUUGUGGCCGUGGUAACUAGUGACGACCAUCCCAGCUGGUUGGAAAAAGCUUGACAGAAGGGGUGACCGACCGGUAGAUGUGUGUCUUAACGUCUCUGUUUAUGAUCAAAUAAUAUUUACUUUUGACGUUGUAUGCACUAAUGCAAGUGGAAACAGCGUGGGACCGUAUCCGUCCUGUCGGGAAAACCGAUUAGUUUCGCUUUUUACAAAUAAUAAUUCCUCGUUUUGGUUAUCCAGUUGAUCAGACGUGUCAGUCUUGUUGAUUAUUUUUUUUUUUAUCUCGAUAGCUGGCUGGCCAUUUUCAGAUAAAGAAGGGCGAUCAACGUGGAUUAACUGGACCAGUUACCUACAGUACGAUGAGUACCUUGGAUUCUGUGGAUCGAGUUGAACUGUGCGAGAGCCUUUUGACAUGGAUCCAGACGUUUGGAUUGGAGGCACCAUGCAAAACAGUGGAUGAUCUCACAAGUGGAGUUGUCAUGGCCCAGGCCCUACAGAAAAUAGACAUUGUGUAUUUCACUGACAACUGGAUCGGUAGGAUCAAGCCCGAGGUGGGAGAUAACUGGCGGCUAAAGAUCAGUAAUCUAAAGAAGGUGUUGAAAGGUAUACUGGACUACAACCAGGAGGUUCUUCAACAGCAGAUCAAUGACUUCACCCUGCCAGACAUCAACCUGAUAGGAGAACACUCAGACGCUGCAGAGCUGGGCAGGAUGCUGCAACUCAUACUAGGCUGUGCUGUCAACUGUGAGCAGAAACAAGAGAACAUCCAGACCAUAAUGAUGCUGGAGGAAUCUGUUCAACAUGUUGUCAUGACAGCCAUUCAAGAGCUGAUGAGCAAAGAGUGCCCAGUUAUUGGAGGAAAUGAAUCGUACGCUGACAUCGAUAGACAGCUGAAGAAGACCGUGGAGGAUCUGAACGACGCUCUAGUCACCAAGGAGGAGAUCGCACAGAGAUGUCACGAGCUGGACAUGCAGGUGGCAGCGCUACAGGAGGAGAGGGGUAGUCUCCUGGCUGAGAACCAGAUCCUCAUGGAGCGUCUCAACCAGUCUGACUCCAUAGAAGACCUGAACAGCCCUGUAGGACGUAGACACCUGCAGCUGCAGACACAGCUAGAACAUCUCCAGGAGGAGACAUUCAGAAUGGAGGCAGCGAAGGAUGACUAUCGUAUCCACUGUAGGGAGUUGGAGAAGGAGCUGACAGAGCUGAGAGGACAGAAUGAAGAGCUCACGUCCCUGGCUGACGAGGCCCAGACACUGAAGGACGAAAUGGAUGUACUCCGACACUCGUCAGACAAGGUGUCCAAGCUGGAGGUCAUGGUGGAGUCGUAUAAGAAGAAGCUGGAGGACCUGGGAGAUCUGAGGAGACAGGUCAAACUGUUGGAGGAGAAGAACACUCUGUACAUGCAGAACACUGUCAGUCUGGAGGAAGAAGUACGCAAAGCCAACACCACGAGAGGACAGCUGGAGUCCUACAAGAGACAGGUGGUAGAGCUGCAGAACAAGCUGUCUGAGGAGUCCAAAAAGACAGACAAGAUGGAGUUUGAAUACAAGAGACUCAAGGAGAAGGUGGACUCUCUCCAGAAAGAAAAGGAUCGUAUGAGGUCAGAGAGAGACUCUUUGAAGGAGACCAUUGAGGAGCUGCGUUGUGUUAAGGCUCAGAAGGAACAACUCUCUACAGGCAUGGUUCCACUCGGCAGUAACGAGGGCUCUGAUUCGCUGGCUGAAGAGAUAAUCACCCCAGAGAUCCGAGAGAAGCUGAUCAGACUGCAGCAUGAGAAUAACAUGCUGAAGCUGGCCCAGGAGGGUUCUGAUAAUGAGAAGAUCGCUCUGCUGCAGAGUUUACUGGAGGACGCUAACAGUAGGAAGAACGAACUGGAGACAGAAAACAGACUGGUGAACCAGAGACUGAUCGAGGGUCAGAGUCAGGUGGAGGAGCUGCAGAGUAGUCUUCAGGAACAGGGCUCCAAAGCGGAGGAUUCGAUCAUUCUGAAGAAGAAGAACGAUGUACACAUGGAGAAAUUACGGGAAGCGAACAGCGAACUGCAGAAGAAGUGUGCGUACAUUGAUGACUUGGAGCCCAAGUACACAUCUAGCUCCCAGAAAGUGGAGGAGCUAGAGGAGGCACUGAAGAAGAAGGAUGAAGACAUGAAGCAGAUGGAGGACAGAUAUAAGAAGUACCUGGAGAAAGCGAAGAGUGUUAUCCGGACCCUGGACCCUAAACAGAACCAGGGCUCGGCACCAGAGGUCCAGGCCUUAAAGAACCAGCUGCAGGAGAAGGAGAGGAUGCUGCACUCUCUGGAGAAAGACUACGACAAGACCAAGGCUCAGAGAGACCAGGAGGAGAAACUCAUAGUGUCUGCCUGGUACAACAUGGGCAUGGCUCUACAGAAGAAGGCAGCAGAGGACCGUCUGGCCAGUACGGGCUCAGGACAGUCCUUCCUGGCCCGCCAGAGACAGGCUACCAGCACACGCCGCUCUUACCCUGGACACGUACAGCCUACCACCGCCAGGUAGACACGGCACCAUGACCCCUACCUGACCCCGAGCCCUGUCCUGACCCUCCAGGCCAGGUAGACACGGCACCAUGACCCCUACCUGACCGCGAGCCCUGUCCUGACCCUCCAGGCCAGGUAGACACGGCACCAUGACCCCUACCUGACCCUGAGCCCUGUCCUGACCCUCCAGGCCAGGUAGACACGGCACCAUGACCCCUACCUGACCCUGAGCCCUGUCCUGACCCUCCAGGCCAGGUAGACACGGCACCAUGACCCCUACCUGACCCUGAGCCCUGUCCUGACCCUCCGGGCCAGGUAGACACGGCACCAUGACCCCUACCUGACCCUG